rnacentral:tRNA from 1 species
AACGAGGUGCCUGAUUAAAGGAUUAUCUUGAUAGGAUAAAUCAUGUAAUUUAAUUACCCCCAUUA